AUGUCACACUAAAUGCUAAAAAUAACAAACAUAAAAAUGCAAGAGUAACUUUAAAUCGUAUUUAAUACCUAAAGAAGAAUGUUGAAUCAAAAUCAGCGAAGUAUACAAACUAAAAGCAACAAAAAGCCAUCACGACAGAACUCCGUGGCGUGAAUGACUUUCAAAGUUUGAAAAAGAACAAUUUACCUCGCAAUGUGUAUCAAACCCCCUUGCGCUAGACUAUAGCGGUAGCCUAAUAUUUCAUAUCUUGAAAAUCCUUCGUAGGGAGCAGUCAUUAUUAAUGCCAGGGGGGGAGGCGGACGAUAUUUGUAGGAGGGGGGGCAACCAAAAAUUUAUCAACCAGUCAGGGGGGGGCACCAAAAAUAAUGUACAAUAAUCAUAAAACAUCAGCAAUUAUAGUUCACUGUAAUAUGAAUGUCAAUGCAAUAUAAGUAUAGCUAAUCACACAGGAAGGAGUGCAAUUAAUUAUAACACUACGAGUAAUAUUGGAGGGCCCUGAAGGGGUAAAAUGGGAACUGGAAUUGAUCUAAUUUUAGACUGGGAAAAUGGGAUUUGGGUUGCUGGGACUGGGAUUUGGCCACUGAGAAUGGGACAUGAAGUCCUCAAAAAUGGGAAUGGGAUUGAGGUAAUGCGAGUCGAUUCCCAAUUUUUCUACAUUUUAAGUGUUUUAAAAUACAAUUUUGAUCCGUUUUCGGUGUCUUUGG